GUGAGUAACACGUGGGCAAUCUGCCCUGCACUCUGGGACAAGCCCUGGAAACGGGGUCUAAUACCGGAUAUGACCGCUGACCGCAUGGUUGGUGGUGUAAAGCUCCGGCGGUGCAGGAUGAGCCCGCGGCCUAUCAGCUUGUUGGUGGGGUGAUGGCCUACCAAGGCGACGACGGGUAGCCGGCCUGAGAGGGCGACCGGCCACACUGGGACUGAGACACGGCCCAGACUCCUACGGGAGGCAGCAGUGGGGAAUAUUGCACAAUGGGCGAAAGCCUGAUGCAGCGACGCCGCGUGAGGGAUGACGGCCUUCGGGUUGUAAACCUCUUUCAGCAGGGAAGAAGCGCAAGUGACGGUACCUGCAGAAGAAGCACCGGCUAACUACGUGCCAGCAGCCGCGGUAAUACGUAGGGUGCGAGCGUUGUCCGGAAUUAUUGGGCGUAAAGAGCUCGUAGGCGGCUUGUCGCGUCGGAUGUGAAAGCCCGGGGCUUAACUCCGGGUCUGCAUUCGAUACGGGCAGGCUAGAGUUCGGUAGGGGAGAUCGGAAUUCCUGGUGUAGCGGUGAAAUGCGCAGAUAUCAGGAGGAACACCGGUGGCGAAGGCGGAUCUCUGGGCCGAUACUGACGCUGAGGAGCGAAAGCGUGGGGAGCGAACAGGAUUAGAUACCCUGGUAGUCCACGCCGUAAACGUUGGGAACUAGGUGUGGGCGACAUUCCACGUUGUCCGUGCCGCAGCUAACGCAUUAAGUUC
rnacentral:rRNA from 1 species